AGUGAACGCUGGCGGUAGGCCUAACACACGCAAGUCGAACGGCAGCACAGUAAGAGCUUGCUCUUACGGGUGGCGAGUGGCGGACGGGUGAGGAAUACAUCGGAAUCUACUUUUUCGUGGGGGAUAACGUAGGGAAACUUACGCUAAUACCGCAUACGACCUACGGGUGAAAGCAGGGGAUCUUCGGACCUUGCGCGAUUGAAUGAGCCGAUGUCGGAUUAGCUAGUUGGCGGGGUAAAGGCCCACCAAGGCGACGAUCCGUAGCUGGUGUGAGAGGAUGGUAGGCCACACUGGAACUGGGACACGGUCCAGACUCCUACGGGAGGCAGCAGUGGGGAAUAUUGGACAGAGGGCGCAAGCCUGAUCCAGCCAUACCGAGUGGGUGAAGAAGGCCUUCGGGUUGUAAAGCCCUUUUGUUGGGAAAGAAAAGCAGCAGGUUAAUACCCCGCUGUUCUGACGGUACCCAAAGAAUAAGCACCGGCUAACUUCGUG
rnacentral:rRNA from 1 species